CAGCACUCAUGGGUGCAUCCAGUCAGGGACUGCAUAAUUCAGUCAGCUUUCCCCAGGCAAUAGGUGAUCUGUUCUUAUGCAGCCAGCUCCAUGUUUACAUUCCAGAAAAAGGGAGGCCAAUUCUACUGGUGCUUAUUAUGCAUGCCCUGAGAACACAGAGGAAAAUUAGAAAGCAACCUAUUUCUUCUGUUUUGGUCUGUCUGCUUAGACAAUGCUGAGGUCAGCCAUAGAAUUGUGAACAAGUCACUGCAAUUACCCAAAGAUUUCUGAAGCAGUUAAAGGAGAAGUGGGAAGGAAUUAUAUAAAGAAAAGAAGUGAAAAAAGAAGAUCAAGAAGAAAGAGCAGUCAAUCUACACAUUCACCAAACCAGUGGCAGUCCAGCUGUUUUCCCUAUAAAGAAUAAAAGUUCAUUGUUACGAGGGUA